GCCCCCUGGACAGAUACUGACACUCAGAUGCGAAAAGCGUGGGGAGCAAACAGGAUUAGAUACCUGGUAGUGCACGCCGUAAAACGAUGUCUACUUGGAGGUUGUGGCCCUUGAGCCGUGGCUUUCGGAGCUAACGCGUUAAGUAGACCGCCUGGGGAGUACGGUCGCAAGAUUAAAACUCAAAUGAAUUGACGGGGGCCCGCACAAGCGGUGGAGCAUGUGGUUUAAUUCGAUGCAACGCGAAGAACCUUACCUACUCUUGACAUCCAGAGAACUUUCCAGAGAUGGAUUGGUGCCUUCGGGAACUCUGAGACAGGUGCUGCAUGGCUGUCGUCAGCUCGUGUUGUGAAAUGUUGGGUUAAGUCCCGCAACGAGCGCAACCCUUAUCCUUGUUUGCCAGCGAGUAAUGUCGGGAACUCCAGGGAGACUGCCGGUGAUAAACCGGAGGAAGGUGGGGACGACGUCAAGUCAUCAUGGCCCUUACGAGUAGGGCUACACACGUGCUACAAUGGCGCAUACAGAGGGCAGCCAACUUGCGAAAGUGAGCGAAUCCCAAAAAGUGCGUCGUAGUCCGGAUUGGAGUCUGCAACUCGACUCCAUGAAGUCGGAAUCGCUAGUAAUCGUGGAUCAGAAUGCCACGGUGAAUACGUUCCCGGGCCUUGUACACACCGCCCGUCACACCAUGGGAGUGGGCUGCAAAAGAAGUAGGUAGUUAACCUCGGGGGACG
rnacentral:rRNA from 1 species